rnacentral:lncRNA from 1 species
CUAUGUUCUUGUUUUCUCUCAGCCAGUUCUCAGUACAGAUCGCUGUGGGGCUGGGUCAGCUCUGGGCACAGCAGAAACUGGAAGGGUCCUGUUUGAGACUGCUCCUAUAAGUCCUGAGGCUUCUAGGCAGGUUGCUUGGAACAGAAGAACUGGUCUUACCUCUGCUUUCAGGCGUGUCAGCACUUCUGAUGACUGGUUUUCAGCUCUGGGAGUGGCAAAAACUGGAAGAGUCCGGCCCCUAACUGCUCCUAGGUUUCUGUGCACAGAGGGCACAGAGGGCACUAGGUGGGUUCCUCUUGGGCCAGGGAUAUGAGCAAAAGUAGUUGUCUCCUCUGAGCUCUCAGGUUGUCUGUACUUCUGAGAGUCCAGUUCUCUCCCCCAUGGGAUUUGGGUACAGAAAGCUGUGGGAUUGGCUCAGCCCAUAUUUUUAACUCUUAAUUAAAAUAUAAUUACAUACUUUCACUACCACUUUUCUCUUCCUCUCUAGGAGUCUCACAUGUAUCCCUGUUAGUCUCUCCCAUAUUCAUGUUCUCUUGUUCUAUCACUACACAUAUACAAAUACACACACGCACACACAAAUACACCCUGCUUAAUCUACUCAGUAUGUAAAUAUAUAAAAUAUCC